CGAAUACCGGAGAAUGUUAUCACGGGAGACACACGGCGGGUGCUAACGUCCGUCGUGAAGAGGGAAACAACCCAGACCGCCAGCUAAGGUCCCAAAGUCAUGGUUAAGUGGGAAACGAUGUGGGAAGGCCCAGACAGCCAGGAUGUUGGCUUAGAAGCAGCCAUCAUUUAAAGAAAGCGUAAUAGCUCACUGGUCGAGUCGGCCUGCGCGGAAGAUGUAACGGGGCUAAACCAUGCACCGAAGCUGCGGCAGCGACGCUUAUGCGUUGUUGGGUAGGGGAGCGUUCUGUAAGCCUGCGAAGGUGUGCUGUGAGGCAUGCUGGAGGUAUCAGAAGUGCGAAUGCUGACAUAAGUAACGAUAAAGCGGGUGAAAAGCCCGCUCGCCGGAAGACCAAGGGUUCCUGUCCAACGUUAAUCGGGGCAGGGUGAGUCGACCCCUAAGGCGAGGCCGAAAGGCGUAGUCGAUGGGAAACAGGUUAAUAUUCCUGUACUUGGUGUUACUGCGAAGGGGGGACGGAGAAGGCUAUGUUGGCCGGGCGACGGUUGUCCCGGUUUAAGCGUGUAGGCUGGUUUUCCAGGCAAAUCCGGAAAAUCAAGGCUGAGGCGUGAUGACGAGGCACUACGGUGCUGAAGCAACAAAUGCCCUGCUUCCAGGAAAAGCCUCUAAGCAUCAGGUAACAUCAAAUCGUACCCCAAACCGACACAGGUGGUCAGGUAGAGAAUACCAAGGCGCUUGAGAGAACUCGGGUGAAGGAACUAGGCAAAAUGGUGCCGUAACUUCGGGAGAAGGCACGCUGAUAUGUAGGUGAAGUCCCUCGCGGAUGGAGCUGAAAUCAGUCGAAGAUACCAGCUGGCUGCAACUGUUUAUUAAAAACACAGCACUGUGCAAACACGAAAGUGGACGUAUACGGUGUGACGCCUGCCCGGUGC
rnacentral:rRNA from 1 species